GGCCUAAUGGUCUAGUAGCAUGAUACCUCCUUCGGGCUUUUCACAGUAGAUUCUACUGAUAUGUGGAGGUGGUCCCGGGUUCAAUUCCCGGUUGGGCCC